rnacentral:misc_RNA from 1 species
ACGUGAGUGUUGAGAUAACCCAGUGCACUGGCGGGCCCCCUGCUUAAGUGCGGCCGACCGCGAGUGCGAUGGGAUAUGCUUCGUUCGUGAAAUCCCAAAAUCAUCGGGGCUCCGCACGAUGCGGAGGGCAUAUUCGGUGGGUUGUAUCGCAUAGUCGGCACGCGGCAACSUGGUGACCCUACGUUAGUAACGUCAUGUCCUCCUCCUCUCUCUCGCCCGCUCCCCUCGGACGGGCGGGGAGCGAGAAGCGGCCUCUUACGACGUCCCGUGCRUCCUCGGCGGCGCUUGCAGUCGCACGUGUGCGCACGUGCUUGCCUGCUUCGUCCGUCCGUCUGGACCUCGGGACGGUCGAGUGCUUACGGAUGCGGUGAAUUGGAUGGGAGUCGGGUGGGCGCACGCUGUUGCCGACCCGACGAAUGGSAGGUGUUUGCGCACGCCGCGAGCGGGCAAACGGAACGGAACGGAACGGAAUGAACGACCGCCGGCGGGCGGGCGGGCGUGCGUCGUCGUCGCCGAUGGGCUGGCUGCGCCGUCCGUCCUGUCCGCGGGCGUCGUCUCGAAGGAUUCGCUACCUGGUUGAUC